AGCAGCCGCGGUAAUUCCAGCUCCAAUAGCGUAUAUUAAAGUUGUUGCAGUUAAAAGCUCGUAGUUGAAUUUCGGGAUUGACGUGAUGGUCAUGCCUUAAGGGGUAUGAACUGUUACUGUUGAUUUCUCACCUUCUGGAGAAACUUGAUGUCCUUUAUUGGGUGUCUUGCGGAUCCAGGACCUUUACCUUGAAAAAUUGAGUGUUUAAAGCAGGCAUUUUUGCUCGAAUACAUUAGCAUGGAAUAAUAGAAUAGGACGGCAUGGUUCUAUUUUGUUGGUUUCUAGGAUCACCGUAAUGAUUAAUAGGGAUAGUUGGGGGCAUUAGUAUUCAAUUGUCAGAGGUGAAAUUCUUGGAUUUAUUGAAGACUAACUACUGCGAAAGCAUUUGACCAGGAUGUUUUCAUUAAUCAAGAACGAAAGUUAGGGAUCGAAGACGAUCAGAUACCGUCGUAGUCUUAACCAUAAACUAUGCCGACUAGGAAUCAGACUAUGUUUAAUUUUUAAUGUACUUCGUUGGUA
rnacentral:misc_RNA from 1 species